rnacentral:lncRNA from 1 species
AACCACACUUCCAAAUCCUUGUUCACUCACGCCAACACUGGCCUCCCGACAAAUUAGGAGAUGUUCAAGGAGAAACACGAGGUUGCCAUGCUAGGGGCACCCCAUAGCUCUGCUCCCUUGAUGUCCUCUGUGAUCCACAUCUGCAGUGAGACCUCCAUGCCCAAACCCUGUUCAAAAUGCUCUUCAUAAACUAGUGCUUCCUGGGCUUCAUAGCAUUAGUGUACUGCAUGAAGUCUAGGGACAGGAAGAUGGUGGGUGAUGUGACCGGGGCGCAGGCCUGUGCCUCCACCACCAAGUGCUUGAACAUCUGUACCCUGUUCCUCGACAUCCCUGUGGUCAUUGCACUCAUCAUGCUUUUCACCACUAG